rnacentral:rRNA from 1 species
UACAGAGGUCCCAAGCGUUGUUCGGAUUCACUGGGCGUAAAGGGUGCGUAGGUGGCCAGGUAAGUUUGGUGUGAAAGCUCGGAGCUUAACUCCGAAAAGUCAUUGAAUACUAUCUGGCUGGAGGGUCGAGGGGAGACUGGAAUUCUCGGUGUAGCAGUGAAAUGCGUAGAUAUCGAGAGGAACACCAGUGGCGAAGGCGAGUCUCUGGACGACUCCUGACACUGAGGCACGAAAGCUAGGGGAGCAAACAGG